rnacentral:rRNA from 1 species
GAUGAACGCUGGCGGCGUGCCUAAUACAUGCAAGUCGAGCGAACAGACGAGGAGCUUGCUCCUCUGACGUUAGCGGCGGACGGGUGAGUAACACGUGGAUAACCUACCUAUAAGACUGGGAUAACUUCGGGAAACCGGAGCUAAUACCGGAUAAUAUAUUGAACCGCAUGGUUCAAUAGUGAAAGACGGUUUUGCUGUCACUUAUAGAUGGAUCCGCGCCGCAUUAGCUAGUUGAUAAGGUAACGGCUUACCAAGGCAACGAUGCGUAGCCGACCUGAGAGGGUGAUCGGCCACACUGGAACGGAGACACGGUCCAGACUCCUACGGGAGGCAGCAGUAGGGAAUCUUCCGCAAUGGGCGAAAGCCUGACGGAGCAACGCCGCGUGAGUGAUGAAGGUCUUCGGAUCGUAAAACUCUGUUAUUAGGGAAGAACAAAUGUGUAAGUAACUAUGCACGUCUUGACGGUACCUAAUCAGAAAGCCACGGCUAACUACGUG